rnacentral:rRNA from 1 species
GCUGGCGGCGUGCCUAAUACAUGCAAGUCGAACGCUUCUUUCCUCCCGAGUGCUUGCACUCAAUUGGAAAGAGGAGUGGCGGACGGGUGAGUAACACGUGGGUAACCUACCCAUCAGAGGGGGAUAACACUUGGAAACAGGUGCUAAUACCGCAUAACAGUUUAUGCCGCAUGGCAUAAGAGUGAAAGGCGCUUUCGGGUGUCGCUGAUGGAUGGACCCGCGGUGCAUUAGCUAGUUGGUGAGGUAACGGCUCACCAAGGCCACGAUGCA